UUCACCCUGAAUUGCCCAGGGGCAGCUUGGUGGAGAAAAGUGGGGGCUUCCGGAGGCCAGCUUCAGCUUGGCCUGGGCGGGACUUGCCCACCUGUGGAUGCUUCUUCUCGUUGCUCUCUGUGGACAUUGCCAGCACGUUGCUCCAUCAGCUGUUAACGGGAGAUUCCUGGGCUUGAGCAGGGCGCAGGCCAAGGGCUUUCUGAUCACCCAGGCCCAGAAUGCUCUCUCAAGCCAGUCUUUUCUGCAGCUAGUGGCCUAGCUCCUGCCUGGGCCUGAAGCCCCCUCUGCUGGUAGCCUGCCUCCACUGCACCCACAGAAGAAAGGGGCACCCUCUCACAGCCCCUGGGGAGACCCAGCAGCUUCCUUCUGUAUCUGUGCGGCCUUGUUCCUCAAGACAGCCCACCCGCUCCCAUGUGACUCUGCUGACGGUCUGGAGUCUGGGCACACCCUCCCCCACCCGGGUGCUGUUGACAUUCUCACAGCAGGUCUUCCACUGGUACCCUUCUGCCUGUCCAUCUUGGGAAGCCACACAGGGCAGUGAUUCUGGGAACUUAGAUGAGAACAAGGAGACAAGAAACUGUGGUAAAGUUUGGAGUAUCCUGAAAACAUGACACUACAGUAUGGAUUGAAGGCUGAUGGAGGAUGCCCUUCUGUGUGAUGAGACUACUUCCCCUUUUCAUGGUGCUGCUUCCCCAGUUCCUUAGGAUCCUGGUGAUGGUUUCUGGGCUCUGCAAUGCAUUGUGCCUUCCUCUCACAAAUUCUCCCUGGAGUGUGCUCAGCUUCCUGUCUGCCGCUGUAAUGGCAACAACCCUGCCUGCUUCUCCCACUGCUGUGACCUGUGCCACCCUUCUGCUGCCAUGAUGAAUGAAAUUGCUGAGACUAUGAAGCAAAAAGAAACCUUUCCUCCCCCAAGCUGAUUUUGUCACAGUAAUAAGAGAAGUAGUUGACACAGACUUGAUCGCCUAACCCUGAAGUACUUGGUGUCUUUGAGCCUCCAGGUGAAACUCAGAAAGAACCUUUGGAUGCUGUGACAACCAACUCCCUCUCCCAUUCUUCCAAACCACUCCUGGAGCAUGAAAAUGCCCACACCCAACAGAACGGGGCUGACUCUCCCGGCCUCCGUGCUUGCCCCUCUGACAGUCACAGCAUUUCCAGGAGUCCUGCCUGACUCCUCACAUUGGCAGAACAGAGUUCCCGUGUGCUCUUUUUACCUUCUCACAUUCCAGCCCUCUGACAGCGUGUCCUCCUCGAGAUUUCCAACCUGUGGUCUUUACCAAGCCUGUAAUGUCAUAAAUCUCAAAAUAUCAAAAGAAGAAUCAAGGCCA